GCUGGUCCUUAGCCUGUAUUGCGGAGCAAGCUUUCGGCGACCAGCUGGACCCUGGGCACCCUUCUUCGAACAAUGGCUUUUAAUUCUCAGACUAGAACGUUUAGGAUUACAAAAGAAACUGGUUCUUUUCACAUUCUUAUUCUUGUGAUGUAGCAUUCCGCAUAUAUAUAUAUAUAUAUAUAUAUAUAUAUAUAUAUAUGUAUCCAACUAUCCUAAAAGACACUACCCUUCAUCAUUCCAUGCCAUUAGACAUGUAUAGGACCAUGCAUGGUGAUCUCCUCCAGACAAAAGUAAAUGCUGGUGCAGAACAGUGUCUUCCUGGUACUACACAUGAAGAUGUCCCGCUCUCCCCUGCUCAAGGAGAGAGUGCCUGACCUGAGCUGGGCCCAUCAGAUCCAGUACUUACCUGGAAUACGAAAAAGAUGGAGAGAGUGACCAAAGAUUACAAAAAUCUCUGAAGCUUAUCUACUUGAGAGAGAGUCCCUGAAGAUACUGGCCUCUCAUUCCUGCUAUGUAUAUCCAAUGUGACUGAACUCUGAAUAAAAUAUACAAGUUAUAACAAUGUAGCAAUUGACCCAGCAAACGAGGACACAAACGUGUUGGAGGGAUUUGAGUUUGAUGUCUUGCAUACAAUGUGAUCCCACUGUAUGACUACACAAAUGUUGGCAAAAGUGAGUUCAGAGGAAAUGGUAGGCAAGUACUUCCCAGUUUUGGCCAGAAGAUGGAGAAAAAAGAAUUCUCAAAAAAUGUUAAAGGUGUCUACAGAGAAAUAGACAAGUGAUGCACGACAGAUACAUGUGUCAGUCUGGUCCCUGCAGUUGUAUUUGUAAUAAUACACAUUGGAGCAAUUUCAUGGCCAUCGGUUAGAGAAUGUUU
rnacentral:lncRNA from 1 species